UCAUACCAUAGAGAACUACUAUAAUAGAGUGCACACUCCUGUUUUUUCGAUAGACUGGUAACGCUUGAUUUCGCCGAUCCCAUGUGACAGUUGCCAAUAGCAACGCCACAGCUUAAAACAAAAAAUGUGUACUUUGCUGAACCAGUGAACCUAGUUCGUUAAUAAUAUACUGAUUGUAGUUUAAACGAGUUUUUUAUUUAAUCGUUUUAAAUUUUCAUAUUGUUAAUUAUUUAGAAAUAUAACAUUAAAAUGAAUAAUCAUUGUAUACAUCUGCUGCUGUCAAGCGAUGUCUCUAAAAUACGCGCGAACAGCGCGAACGUCUCUAAAAUGCGCGCGAACAGCGCGAACGUCUAUAAAAUAAGCGCCAACGUGUUUUACAGAAAGAAUUGGGUCCCUUUAAAAUGUGCUGGUUGCGCGUGGUUGCGAAUAUUUUCCUAAAUAUAGGUCAAAAUUGAAAAGGGUUGCAUUUAUAUUAUACGUCUCAUUAAUACCAUUCUAACGGUGCCU